rnacentral:rRNA from 1 species
GACGAACGCUGGCGGCGUGCUUAACACAUGAAAGUCGAACGAGUGGCGAACGGGUGAGUAAUACGUUGGUAACCUCCCUCCUUUUUGGGAUAAGCCUUGGAAACAGGUUCUAAUACCGAAUAUGUGAGUAUGUGCUCGCGGCCUAUCAGCUUGUUGGUGAGGUGAUGGCUUACCUCGGCGACGAUCCCUAGCUGGUCUGAGAGGAUGAUCAGCCACACUGGGACUGAGAAACGGCACAGACUCCUACGGGGGGCAGCAGUGGGGAAUAUUGCACAAUGGGCGAAAGUCUGAUGCAGCAAUGCCGCGUGUAUGAAGAAGGCCUUAGGGUUGUAAAGUAUUUUCAGGCGGGAGGCGUUACCGACAGAAGAAGCACCGGCUAACUCCGUGCCAGCAGCCGCGGUAAUAC